AUUGAACGCUGGCGGCAUGCUUUACACAUGCAAGUCGAACGGUAACAGGCCGCAAGGUGCUGACGAGUGGCGAACGGGUGAGUAAUGCAUCGGAACGUGCCCAGUCGUGGGGGAUAACUACUCGAAAGAGUAGCUAAUACCGCAUACGAUCCAUGGAUGAAAGCGGGGGACCGUAAGGCCUCGCGCGAUUGGAGCGGCCGAUGUCAGAUUAGGUAGUUGGUGGGGUAAAGGCUCACCAAGCCAACGAUCUGUAGCUGGUCUGAGAGGACGACCAGCCACACUGGGACUGAGACACGGCCCAGACUCCUACGGGAGGCAUCAGUGGGGAAUUUUGGACAAUGGGCGCAAGCCUGAUCCAGCAAUGCCGCGUGCAGGAAGAAGGCCUUCGGGUUUUAAACUGCUUUUGUACGGAACGAAACGGCUCUGGUUAAUACCCGGGGCUAAUGACGGUACCGUAAGAAUAAGCACCGGCUAACUACGUG
rnacentral:rRNA from 1 species